UCGCUACUUUUCUCUUUCU
rnacentral:snRNA from 1 species